rnacentral:rRNA from 1 species
UGCAGUCGAACGAUGAAGCCCAGCUUGCUGGGUGGAUUAGUGGCGAACGGGUGAGUAACACGUGAGUAACCUGCCCUUGACUCUGGGAUAAGCGUUGGAAACGACGUCUAAUACCGGAUACGAGCUUCCACCGCAUGGUGAGUUGCUGGAAAGAAUUUUGGUCAAGGAUGGACUCGCGGCCUAUCAGCUUGUUGGUGAGGUAAUGGCUCACCAAGGCGACGACGGGUAGCCGGCCUGAGAGGGUGACCGGCCACACUGGGACUGAGACACGGCCCAGACUCCUACGGGAGGCAGCAGUGGGGAAUAUUGCACAAUGGGCGAAAGCCUGAUGCAGCAACGCCGCGUGAGGGACGACGGCCUUCGGGUUGUAAACCUCUUUUAGCAGGGAAGAAGCGAAAGUGACGGUACCUGCAGAAAAAGCACCGGCUAACUACGUGCCAGCAGCCGCGGUAAUACGUAGGGUGCAAGCGUUGUCCGGAAUUAUUGGGCGUAAAGAGCUCGUAGGCGGUUUGUCGCGUCUGCUGUGAAAUCCCGAGGCUCAACCUCGGGUCUGCAGUGGGUACGGGCAGACUAGAGUGCGGUAGGGGAGAUUGGAAUUCCUGGUGUAGCGGUGGAAUGCGCAGAUAUCAGGAGGAACACCGAUGGCGAAGGCAGAUCUCUGGGCCGCUACUGACGCUGAGGAGCGAAAGGGUGGGGAGCAAACAGGCUUAGAUACCCUGGUAGUCCACCCCGUAAACGUUGGGCGCUAGAUGUGGGGACCAUUCCACGGUUUCCGUGUCGUAGCUAACGCAUUAAGCGCCCCGCCUGGGGAGUACGGCCGCAAGGCUAAAACUCAAAGGAAUUGACGGGGGCCCGCACAAGCGGCGGAGCAUGCGGAUUAAUUCGAUGCAACGCGAAGAACCUUACCAAGGCUUGACAUAUACGAGAACGGGCCAGAAAUGGUCAACUCUUUGGACACUCGUAAACAGGUGGUGCAUGGUUGUCGUCAGCUCGUGUCGUGAGAUGUUGGGUUAAGUCCCGCAACGAGCGCAACCCUCGUUCUAUGUUGCCAGCACGUAAUGGUGGGAACUCAUGGGAUACUGCCGGGGUCAACUCGGAGGAAGGUGGGGACGACGUCAAAUCAUCAUGCCCCUUAUGUCUUGGGCUUCACGCAUGCUACAAUGGCCAGUACAAAGGGCUGCAAUACCGUAAGGUGGAGCGAAUCCCAAAAAGCUGGUCCCAGUUCGGAUUGAGGUCUGCAACUCGACCUCAUGAAGUCGGAGUCGCUAGUAAUCGCAGAUCAGCAACGCUGCGGUGAAUACGUUCCCGGGCCUUGUACACACCGCCCGUCAAGUCAUGAAAGUCGGUAACACCCGAAGCCAGUGGCCUAACCGCAAGGAUGGAGCUGUCUAAGG